rnacentral:rRNA from 1 species
GACGAACGCUGGCGGCGUGCUUAACACAUGCAAGUCGAACGGAAAGGCCCUGCUUUUGUGGGGUGCUCGAGUGGCGAACGGGUGAGUAACACGUGAGUAACCUGCCCUUGACUUUGGGAUAACUUCAGGAAACUGGGGCUAAUACCGGAUAGGAGCUCCUGCUGCAUGGUGGGGGUUGGAAAGUUUCGGCGGUUGGGGAUGGACUCGCGGCUUAUCAGCUUGUUGGUGAGGUAGGGGCUUACCAAGGCUUUGACGGGUAGCCGGCCUGAGAGGGUGACCGGCCACAUUGGGACUAAGAUACGGCCCAGACUCCUACGGGAGGCAGCAGUGGGGAAUAUUGCACAGUGGGCGGAAGCCUGAUGCAGCAACGCCGCGUGCGGGAUGACGGCCUUCGGGUUGUAAACCGCUUUCGCCUGUGACGAAGCGUGAGUGACGGUAAUGGGUAAAGAAGCACCGGCUAACUACGUG